rnacentral:rRNA from 1 species
UACGGGGGGGGCAAGCGUUGUCCGGAUUUAUUGGGCGUAAAGAGCGUGUAGGCGGCCAAGCAGGUCCGCUGUGAAAACUCGAGGCUCAACCUCGAGACGUCGGUGGAAACCGUUUGGCUAGAGUCCGGAAGAGGAGAGUGGAAUUCCCGGUGUAGCGGUGAAAUGCGCAGAUAUCGGGAAGAACACCCGUGGCGAAGGCGGCUCUCUGGGGCGGUACUGACGCUGAGACGCGAAAGCGUGGGGAGCGAACAGG